rnacentral:pre_miRNA from 1 species
CAGAUCAUUUAAUAACUGGAUAUUCUAAUUAUGCAUGUGUAUAGGGUUGUGUGGUUGUGUGUGUGUGAUUUCUG